rnacentral:rRNA from 1 species
UUAAGCGACUAAGCGUACACGGUGGAUGCCCUGGCAGUCAGAGGCGAUGAAGGACGUGCUAAUCUGCGAUAAGCGUCGGUAAGGUGAUAUGAACCGUUAUAACCGGCGAUUUCCGAAUGGGGAAACCCAGUGUGUUUCGACACACUAUCAUUAACUGAAUCCAUAGGUUAAUGAGGCGAACCGGGGGAACUGAAACAUCUAAGUACCCCGAGGAAAAGAAAUCAACCGAGAUUCCCCCAGUAGCGGCGAGCGAACGGGGAGCAGCCCAGAGCCUGAAUCAGUGUGUGUGUUAGUGGAAGCGUCUGGAAAGGCGCGCGAUACAGGGUGACAGCCCCGUACACAAAAAUGCACAUGCUGUGAGCUCGAUGAGUAGGGCGGGACACGUGGUAUCCUGUCUGAAUAUGGGGGGACCAUCCUCCAAGGCUAAAUACUCCUGACUGACCGAUAGUGAACCAGUACCGUGAGGGAAAGGCGAAAAGAACCCCGGCGAGGGGAGUGAAAAAGAACCUGAAACCGUGUACGUACAAGCAGUGGGAGCACGCUUAGGCGUGUGACUGCGUACCUUUUGUAUAAUGGGUCAGCGACUUAUAUUCUGUAGCAAGGUUAACCGAAUAGGGGAGCCGAAGGGAAACCGAGUCUUAACUGGGCGUUAAGUUGCAGGGUAUAGACCCGAAACCCGGUGAUCUAGCCAUGGGCAGGUUGAAGGUUGGGUAACACUAACUGGAGGACCGAACCGACUAAUGUUGAAAAAUUAGCGGAUGACUUGUGGCUGGGGGUGAAAGGCCAAUCAAACCGGGAGAUAGCUGGUUCUCCCCGAAAGCUAUUUAGGUAGCGCCUCGUGAAUUCAUCUCCGGGGGUAGAGCACUGUUUCGGCAAGGGGGUCAUCCCGACUUACCAACCCGAUGCAAACUGCGAAUACCGGAGAAUGUUAUCACGGGAGACACACGGCGGGUGCUAACGUCCGUCGUGAAGAGGGAAACAACCCAGACCGCCAGCUAAGGUCCCAAAGUCAUGGUUAAGUGGGAAACGAUGUGGGAAGGCCCAGACAGCCAGGAUGUUGGCUUAGAAGCAGCCAUCAUUUAAAGAAAGCGUAAUAGCUCACUGGUCGAGUCGGCCUGCGCGGAAGAUGUAACGGGGCUAAACCAUGCACCGAAGCUGCGGCAGCGACGCUGAUGCGUUGUUGGGUAGGGGAGCGUUCUGUAAGCCUGCGAAGGUGUGCUGUGAGGCAUGCUGGAGGUAUCAGAAGUGCGAAUGCUGACAUAAGUAACGAUAAAGCGGGUGAAAAGCCCGCUCGCCGGAAGACCAAGGGUUCCUGUCCAACGUUAAUCGGGGCAGGGUGAGUCGACCCCUAAGGCGAGGCCGAAAGGCGUAGUCGAUGGGAAACAGGUUAAUAUUCCUGUACUUGGUGUUACUGCGAAGGGGGACGGAGAAGGCUAUGUUGGCCGGGCGACGGUUGUCCCGGUUUAAGCGUGUAGGCUGGUUUUCCAGGCAAAUCCGGAAAAUCAAGGCUGAGGCGUGAUGACGAGGCACUACGGUGCUGAAGCAACAAAUGCCCUGCUUCCAGGAAAAGCCUCUAAGCAUCAGGUAACAUCAAAUCGUACCCCAAACCGACACAGGUGGUCAGGUAGAGAAUACCAAGGCGCUUGAGAGAACUCGGGUGAAGGAACUAGGCAAAAUGGUGCCGUAACUUCGGGAGAAGGCACGCUGAUAUGUAGGUGAAGUCCCUUGCGGAUGGAGCUGAAAUCAGUCGAAGAUACCAGCUGGCUGCAACUGUUUAUUAAAAACACAGCACUGUGCAAACACGAAAGUGGACGUAUACGGUGUGACGCCUGCCCGGUGCCGGAAGGUUAAUUGAUGGGGUUAGCCGCAAGGCGAAGCUCUUGAUCGAAGCCCCGGUAAACGGCGGCCGUAACUAUAACGGUCCUAAGGUAGCGAAAUUCCUUGUCGGGUAAGUUCCGACCUGCACGAAUGGCGUAAUGAUGGCCAGGCUGUCUCCACCCGAGACUCAGUGAAAUUGAACUCGCUGUGAAGAUGCAGUGUACCCGCGGCAAGACGGAAAGACCCCGUGAACCUUUACUAUAGCUUGACACUGAACAUUGAGCCUUGAUGUGUAGGAUAGGUGGGAGGCUUUGAAGUGUGGACGCCAGUCUGCAUGGAGCCGACCUUGAAAUACCACCCUUUAAUGUUUGAUGUUCUAACGUUGACCCGUAAUCCGGGUUGCGGACAGUGUCUGGUGGGUAGUUUGACUGGGGCGGUCUCCUCCUAAAGAGUAACGGAGGAGCACGAAGGUUGGCUAAUCCUGGUCGGACAUCAGGAGGUUAGUGCAAUGGCAUAAGCCAGCUUGACUGCGAGCGUGACGGCGCGAGCAGGUGCGAAAGCAGGUCAUAGUGAUCCGGUGGUUCUGAAUGGAAGGGCCAUCGCUCAACGGAUAAAAGGUACUCCGGGGAUAACAGGCUGAUACCGCCCAAGAGUUCAUAUCGACGGCGGUGUUUGGCACCUCGAUGUCGGCUCAUCACAUCCUGGGGCUGAAGUAGGUCCCAAGGGUAUGGCUGUUCGCCAUUUAAAGUGGUACGCGAGCUGGGUUUAGAACGUCGUGAGACAGUUCGGUCCCUAUCUGCCGUGGGCGCUGGAGAACUGAGGGGGGCUGCUCCUAGUACGAGAGGACCGGAGUGGACGCAUCACUGGUGUUCGGGUUGUCAUGCCAAUGGCACUGCCCGGUAGCUAAAUGCGGAAGAGAUAAGUGCUGAAAGCAUCUAAGCACGAAACUUGCCCCGAGAUGAGUUCUCCCUGACUCCUUGAGAGUCCUGAAGGAACGUUGAAGACGACGACGUUGAUAGGCCGGGUGUGUAAGCGCAGCGAUGCGUUGAGCUAACCGGUACUAAUGAACCGUGAGGCUUAACCUU